rnacentral:rRNA from 2 species
UACGUAGGGUGCGAGCGUUAAUCGGAAUUACUGGGCGUAAAGCGUGCGCAGGCGGUUUUGUAAGCCAGAUGUGAAAGCCCCGGGCUUAACCUGGGAAUGGCAUUUGGGACUGCAAGGCUUGAGUGCGGCAGAGGAGACUGGAAUUCCUGGUGUAGCAGUGAAAUGCGUAGAUAUCAGGAGGAAUACCGAUGGCGAAGGCAGGUCUCUGGGCUGACACUGACGCUCAUGCACGAAAGCGUGGGGAGCAAACAGG